UACGAAGGGGGCUAGCGUUGCUCGGAAUCACUGGGCGUAAAGGGUGCGUAGGCGGGUUUUUAAGUCAGGGGUGAAAUCCCGAGGCUCAACCUCGGAACUGCCUUUGAUACUGGAAAUCUUGAGUCUGGGAGAGGUGAGUGGAACUGCGAGUGUAGAGGUGAAAUUCGUAGAUAUUCGCAAGAACACCGGUGGCGAAGGCGGCUCACUGGCCCGGAACUGACGCUGAGGCGCGAAAGCGUGGGGAGCGAACAGG
rnacentral:rRNA from 1 species